UCACACCCGUUCCCAUGCCGAACACGGAAGUUAAGCUUCUCAGCGCCGAUGGUAGUUGGGGGUUUCCCCCUGUGAGAGUAGGACGUUGCCAGGC
rnacentral:rRNA from 1 species